UACGUAGGGACCGAGCGUUGUCCGGAAUCAUUGGGCGUAAAGAGCGUGUAGGCGGCCACUUAAGUCCUGCGUGAAAUCCUGCGGCUCAACCGCAGGCGGUCGUGGGAAACUGGGUGGCUAGAGUGCGGGAGAGGAGAGUGGAAUUCCUGGUGUAGCGGUGGAAUGCGCAGAUAUCAGGAAGAACACCCGUGGCGAAGGCGGCUCUCUGGAACGCAACUGACGCUGAGACGCGAAAGCGUGGGGAGCAAACGGG
rnacentral:rRNA from 1 species